rnacentral:rRNA from 1 species
CCCUUAGAUGUUCUGGGCCGCACGCGCGCUACACUGAUGCAUUCAACGAGCCUAUCCUUGACCGACAGGUCCGGGUAAUCUUUGAAUCUGCAUCGUGACGGGGAUAGAUUAUUGCAAUUAUUAAUCUUCAACGAGGAAUGCCUAGUAGGCGCAAGUCAUCAGCUUGCGUCGAUUACGUCCCUGCCCUUUGUACACACCGCCCGUCGCACCUACCGAUUGAAUGGUCCGGUGAAUCCUUCGGACAGCGACUUAUGUUUCCUUAAUUGUGAGACGUUGUUGCUGGAAGUUGUGUAAACCUUACCAUUUAGAGGAAGGUGAAGUCGUAACA